rnacentral:rRNA from 1 species
GUGGGGAAUAUUGGACAAUGGGCGCAAGCCUGAUCCAGCCAUGCCGCGUGAGUGAUGAAGGCUCUAGGGUUGUAAAUCUCUUUCACCGAUGAAGAUUAUGACGGUAGUCGGAGAAGAAGCCCCGGCUAACUUCGUGCCAGCAGCCGCGGUAAUACGAAGGGGGCUAGCGUUGUUCGGAAUUACUGGGCGUAAAGCGCACGUAGGCGGAUAUUUAAGUCAGGGGUGAAAUCCGAGAGCUCAAAUCUGGAACUGCCUUUGAUACUGGGUAUCUCGAGUAUGGAAGAGGUGAGUGGAAGUCCGGGUGUAGAGGUGAAACUCGUAGAUAUUCUGAGGAACACCAGUGGCGAAGGCGGCUCACUGGUCCAUUACUGACGCUGAGGUGCGAAAUCGUGGGGAGCAAACAGGAUUAGAAACCCUAGUAGUCC